rnacentral:rRNA from 1 species
UACGGGGGGGGCAAGCGUUGUUCGGAAUUACUGGGCGUAAAGGGCUCGUAGGCGGCCAACUAAGUCAGACGUGAAAUCCCUCGGCUUAACCGGGGAACUGCGUCUGAGACUGGAUGGCUCGAGUGUGGGAGAGGGAUGCGGAAUUCCAGGUGUAGAGGUGAAAUGCGUAGAUAUCUGGAGGAACAUCGGUGGCGAAGGCGGCAUCCUGGACCAUGACUGACGCUGAGGAGCGAAAGCCAGGGGAGCAAACGGG